rnacentral:tRNA from 1 species
UGUCCAGGGAUGGGAAUCGAACCCACAGUGUUCCGCUUACCGGGCAGAUGCCAUGUCCACUAGACAUUUCCAC